rnacentral:rRNA from 1 species
UACGGAGGAUGCAAGCGUUGUUCGGAAUCACUGGGCUUAAAGCGCGUGUAGGCGGGAUAUUUGGUGUCGUGUGAAAUCCCCGGUCUCAACCCGGGAACUGCGCGGCAUACCGGUAUUCUUGAGGCAAGCAGAGGUGACUGGAACGACGGGUGGAGCGGUGAAAUGCGUAGAUAUCCGUUGGAACGCCGGCGACGAAGGUGAGUCACUGGGCUUGUCCUGACGCUGAGACGCGAAAGCGUGGGUAGCAAACAGG